GCUAACUCCGUGCCAGCAGCCGCGGGAAUACGGUGGGUGCAAGCGUUAGUCGGAUUUACUGAGUUGAAAGGGUUCGUAGGCGGCCUUAUAAGUCAGUGGUGAAAGCCUGACGCUUAACGCUAGAACUGCGUUUGAUACUGUUAGUCUUUAGUAUAUUUGAGGUAGGUAGAAUAAGUAGUGUAGCGGUGAAAUGCAUAGAUAUUACUUAGAACACCAAUUGCGAAGGCAGGUUACCAAUAUAUAACUGACGCUGAGGGACGAAAGCGUGGGGAGCGAACAGGAUUAGAUACCCCAGUAGUC
rnacentral:rRNA from 1 species